rnacentral:piRNA from 1 species
UUGCUUGACAUUGUUGUACUUUUGGGGUCU